CGCAGUUUGGCGGCCAGUGGAUUAAUUGAAUGCCUCGCAGUGUCGUGUUAACUACAAAGUAAUGUGUUAAUUUCGAUUAACCUGCGGCGUACGGAGUAUUUGUUGUCAAUUUAGUGUAUAAUCACCAAACUUAGAAGAUGUACGCAGUGGAAGAUGAUCAGUACGACGACGAAGACGUGGAGGAAAUCUCAACAGAACUGUGGCAAGAGGCCUGCUGGAUAGUGAUAAACACAUACUUUGACGAAAAGGGACUGGUGCGUCAGCAGCUGGACAGUUUUGACGAGUUUAUACAAAUGUCUGUACAAAGAAUAGUUGAGGAUUCACCUCAGAUCGACCUGCAGGCUGAGGCUCAGCACACAUCUGGAGAAAUCGAGAAUCCUGUUAGACACCUGCUCAAAUUUGAACAAAUCUAUCUCUCCAAACCGACACAUUGGGAAAAAGAUGGAGCCCCGUCACCCAUGAUGCCCAAUGAAGCUAGACUAAGAAAUCUCACCUAUUCUGCACCCCUUUACGUCGAUAUUACCAAAACUGUUGUCAAAGAUGGAGAGGACCCAAUAGAAACGCAACAUCAGAAGACUUUCAUUGGAAAGAUUCCUAUCAUGUUGAGAUCGACUUACUGUCUGCUUUCUGGUCUGACAGAUCGUGAUUUAACUGAAUUAAACGAAUGCCCUUUAGAUCCUGGCGGUUAUUUUAUCAUAAAUGGUUCUGAGAAGGUCCUCAUUGCGCAAGAAAAAAUGGCCACAAAUACUGUGUAUGUGUUUAGUAUGAAGGAUGGAAAGUAUGCCUACAAAGCAGAGAUUCGAUCCUGUCUGGAGCACAGCUCUCGGCCGACGUCAACUCUGUGGGUAAACAUGAUGGCGAAAAGUGGCGCAAGUAUUAAAAAAUCGGCUAUUGGACAGAGAAUAAUAGCUAUACUUCCGUACAUAAAACAAGAAAUACCAAUAAUGAUAGUGUUCAGAGCUUUGGGGUUUGUGGCGGACCGUGACAUCCUCGAGCACAUUAUAUAUGACUUUGACGAUCCAGAAAUGAUGGAGAUGGUGAAACCGUCGCUGGAUGAAGCGUUCGUUAUACAAGAACAGAACGUGGCUCUGAAUUUCAUUGGUACAAGGGGUGCGAGACCUGGAGUGACAAAGGAGAAGCGUAUAAAGUACGCAAGGGAGAUAUUGCAAAAAGAAAUGCUGCCCCACGUGGGCAUAAGUGAUUUCUGUGAAACAAAGAAAGCCUAUUUCUUGGGAUACAUGGUACACAGGCUGCUCUCAGCCUCGUUGGGCAGAAGGGAACUCGACGAUCGAGAUCACUACGGAAACAAAAGACUGGAUCUAGCUGGACCGCUGUUAGCGUUUUUGUUUAGAGGGUUGUUCAAGAAUCUCAUGAAGGAGGUGAGAAUGUACGCCCAAAAGUUUAUUGAUAGAGGAAAAGACUUUAACCUGGAGCUGGCCAUCAAGACUAAGAUAAUUACAGAUGGUUUGAGAUACUCGCUGGCGACGGGAAACUGGGGAGAUCAGAAAAAGGCUCACCAAGCAAGAGCCGGUGUUUCCCAGGUGUUGAACAGGCUUACUUUUGCCUCAACUUUGUCCCAUUUGAGGAGAGUGAAUUCGCCCAUUGGCAGAGAUGGGAAACUGGCUAAACCACGUCAGCUGCACAAUACUUUAUGGGGAAUGUUGUGCCCUGCUGAGACACCGGAAGGUGCAGCUGUAGGUUUGGUCAAGAAUCUGGCUCUGAUGGCGUACAUCAGCGUUGGAUCACAGCCAUCGCCGAUUCUCGAAUUCUUAGAAGAAUGGUCAAUGGAAAAUCUUGAGGAAAUUGCUCCCAGUGCGAUUGCUGAUGCGACAAAAAUUUUCGUCAAUGGUUGCUGGGUUGGAAUACACAGAGAUCCAGAACAGCUCAUGGCCACGUUGAGAAAACUCAGAAGACAGAUGGACAUUAUCGUUUCUGAAGUAUCUAUGAUCAGAGACAUCAGGGACCGAGAGAUUAGGAUUUACACAGAUGCUGGGCGAAUUUGCAGGCCGCUUUUAAUCGUCGAGAACCAAACGUUACUGCUCAAAAAACGCCACAUUGACAUGCUCAAGGAAAGAGAAUAUACCAACUACGGGUGGCAGGUGUUGGUCGCUAGUGGAGUUGUUGAGUACAUCGAUACGCUAGAAGAGGAGACCGUGAUGAUCGCAAUAUCGCCAGAGGAUCUCCGACAAGAGAAGGAGUACGCGUACUGCACAACUUACACCCACUGUGAAAUUCACCCUGCUAUGAUUCUCGGGGUGUGCGCUUCCAUCAUUCCAUUCCCCGAUCACAAUCAGAGUCCCAGGAACACCUAUCAAAGCGCUAUGGGUAAACAAGCAAUGGGUGUUUAUAUUACGAAUUUCCACGUCCGAAUGGAUACCUUGGCGCACGUUUUAUACUAUCCCCACAAACCUUUGGUAACAACAAGAUCGAUGGAAUAUUUACGGUUCAGAGAACUACCUGCUGGGAUAAACAGUAUUGUGGCUAUUCUCUGCUACACGGGAUAUAAUCAGGAGGAUAGUGUUAUCCUGAACGCUAGCGCGGUGGAAAGAGGAUUCUUCAGGUCCGUUUUCUACCGUUCUUACAAAGACUCCGAGUCCAAGAGAAUCGGGGACCAAGAAGAACAGUUUGAGAAACCGACAAGACAAACGUGUCAAGGAAUGAGAAACGCGAUUUACGACAAAUUGGACGACGAUGGUAUUAUUGCGCCGGGAAUUCGAGUGUCUGGCGACGACGUCGUCAUUGGCAAGACUAUUACACUCCCCGAAACAGACGACGAGCUCGACAGUACGACAAAACGAUUUACAAAAAGAGACGCGUCAACCUUUUUGCGAAACAGUGAAACUGGAAUUGUUGAUCAAGUCAUGCUGACGUUGAACAGCGAGGGCUACAAGUUCUGUAAAAUUCGAGUGCGCAGCGUUCGGAUCCCACAGAUCGGUGACAAAUUCGCUUCUCGUCAUGGGCAGAAAGGUACUUGUGGUAUUCAGUACAGGCAGGAGGACAUGCCGUUUUCGUGCGAGGGGUUAACACCAGACAUCAUCAUUAAUCCUCACGCCAUUCCGUCGCGUAUGACAAUCGGUCACUUGAUCGAGUGCAUCCAGGGAAAAGUAUCUGCAAAUAAAGGUGAGAUCGGCGAUGCAACGCCCUUCAACGAUGCCGUGAACGUACAAAAAAUCUCCACGCUUCUUCAAGAAUACGGAUAUCAGCUCAGAGGUAAUGAAGUUAUGUACAACGGACACACAGGUCGUAAAAUAAAUGCCCAAGUCUUCCUUGGUCCGACUUAUUAUCAGCGUUUGAAGCAUAUGGUGGACGAUAAGAUUCACAGCAGAGCCAGAGGGCCCGUACAAAUUUUGGUCAGACAGCCUAUGGAGGGUAGGGCGAGGGAUGGUGGACUACGAUUCGGGGAGAUGGAACGUGACUGUCAAAUAUCUCACGGAGCGGCGCAAUUCCUUCGAGAGCGUCUCUUCGAAGUGUCGGACCCGUACAGAAUUCAUAUCUGUAAUAUCUGCGGCCUAAUCGCCAUUGCGAAUCUUAGGAACAACACGUUCGAGUGCAAAGGGUGCAAGAACAAGACUCAAAUUUCACAAAUCCGACUGCCCUAUGCAGCAAAACUACUAUUCCAGGAAUUAAUGGCUAUGAAUAUAGCCCCGCGACUUAUGGUCAUUUGAAGAGGAGAUUUCUAGGUGAUGCUGUGUCGCUGGGUUAUUCGGCAAGCAUUCGGCUGGAACGUCACAAUCAAUACUGAUUGGAUCGAUCGAACAAAUUCUUACAAUCGCUAAUUCAUCGAUUAUAUGUGUAGCCAAGAUUAUUUGUUGAACAUCCUAACUUAGGUACGGAUGUGAUUUUUAACACAACAAAGAAAGAGAGAAGGACAAAAUGGAAAUCGAAAUAGUUAUUUUCUGAUUAUUAUUUAUGAAUUGUCAAAAUUGAGAAUAAAUAAUAUUAUUGAUAA
rnacentral:misc_RNA from 1 species